rnacentral:misc_RNA from 1 species
AAUUUAUGUAUCCCGCAAACUGCAUUGCAAAUACAUGUAGGAAAGUCUAUGCUUUCUUAAACAUAUCCAUGACUGGCAUACAUGUAAUGCCUUUAUGCAGUACAUUAGCGAUAGCAAAGGCAAAGAUGAAGGUGUUUUGCUGUUGUGCAUGUGUAAUGAGAUGGCAUUGAUUAUGGAUGUAAUGGUAAUGAGAUUGCAUUGACUAUUGAUGUCACGGUGGUGAUGAUGCAGUUAAGAGCUAGACUAAAAGCACGUGUUCAUUGUGUUUUUUGAGUCAAUACUGCAGUGACAGUGGACUAGUGAUGUUCUGGUGGUAAUGGCAAUGGCAACUCAACAAGAGUAUUGUAGAAUGGAAGUUUUACAAGAGUUGUUGAUAUAAUGGGCUGGAAUUGUGAUAGGGAUAUGGAUGAAGAAGAAUCUUCUGGAAGGUGACAGCUAGAAUUGGGUGAGCUGGAAUGUGGGUUGUUGGAGAGGAAUACAAGAACCAUGUGAAGGCAGCAGCUCCAGAGUCUUUAUAAUUGAGAGAAUGAGUGAGGGAUAGGCAUGAAAAAUGGAAAUUGUAUCUUUCUUCCAGCUUGUAUAGCUUGGGGGCAGUUUGCGUAACUGCUAGGACGUGUGAGAGAGGGAUUUUGGAUUACUGUUUUGGAAUUUCUUGUAUUACCACCUGUAUCUUCUGCAUCAAUAUCCCUAUCAUAUUGUAACUGCUAUCAAUUUAAGUUGUU